rnacentral:rRNA from 1 species
AGUGAACGCUGGCGGUAGGCCUAACACAUGCAAGUCGAACGGCAGCACAGUAAGAGCUCGCUCUUACGGGUGGCGAGUGGCGGAUGGGUGAGGAAUACAUCGGAAUCUACUUUUUAGUGGGGGAUGACGUAGGGAAACUUACGCUAAUACCGCAUACGACCUACGGGUGAAAGCAGGAGAUCUUCGGACCUUGCGCGAUUGAAUGAGCCGAUGUCGGAUUAGCUAGUUGGCGGGGUAAAGGCCCACCAAGGCGACGAUCCGUAGCUGGUCUGAGAGGAUGACCAGCCACACUGGAACUGAGACACGGUCCAGACUCCUACGGGAGGCAGCAGUGGGGAAUAUUGGACAAUGGGCGCAAGCCUGAUCCAGCCAUGCCGCGUGAGUGAAGAAGGCCUUCGGGUUGUAAAGCCCUUUUGUUGGGGAAGAAAAGGUGGAGGUUAAUACCCCGCUGUUCUGACGGUACCCGAAGAAUAAGCACCGGCUAACUUCGUG